rnacentral:tRNA from 1 species
GCAGUUGUGGCCUACUGGUUAGGGCUUCGGGCUUGUAACCGGAGGGUUGUCGGUUCGAUCCCAGACCAUUAGGA